GACGAACGCUGGCGGCGUGCUUAACACAUGCAAGUCGAACGGAAAGGCCCUGCUUUUGUGGGGUGCUCGAGUGGCGAACGGGUGAGUAACACGUGAGUAACCUGCCCUUGACUUUGGGAUAACUUCAGGAAACUGGGGCUAAUACCGGAUAGGAGCUCCUGCUGCAUGGUGGGGGUUGGAAAGUUUCGGCGGUUCGGGAUGGACGCGCGGGUUAGCCGCUUGUUUGUGGGGUAGUGGUUUACCAAGGCUUUGACGGGUAGCCGGCCUGAGAGGGUGAACGGCGACAUUGGGACUGAGGGACGGACCAGACUCGUACGGGAGGCAGCAGUGGGGAAUAUUGCACAGUGGGGGGACGCCUGAUGCAGCAACGCCGCGUGCGGGAUGACGGCUUUCGGGUGAUAAACCGCUUUCGCCUGUGACGAAGCGUGAGUGACGGUAAUGGGUAAAGAAGCACCGGCUAACUACGUG
rnacentral:rRNA from 1 species